rnacentral:rRNA from 1 species
UAGUCCACGCCGUAAACGAUGGUCACUAGCUGUUCGGAUUUAUCUGAGUGGCUAAGCGAAAGUGAUAAGUGACCCACCUGGGGAGUACGUUCGCAAGAAUGAAACUCAAAGGAAUUGACGGGGGCCCGCACAAGCGGUGGAGCAUGUGGUUUAAUUCGAUGAUACGCGAGGAACCUUACCAGGGCUUAAAUGUAGUAUGACAGGUCUAGAGAUAGAUUUUUCUUCGGACAUAUUACAAGGUGCUGCAUGGUUGUCGUCAGCUCGUGCCGUGAGGUGUCAGGUUAAGUCCUAUAACGAGCGCAACCCCUGUUGUUAGUUACCAGCAUGUUAAGAUGGGGACUCUAGCAAGACUGCCGGUGCAAACCGCGAGGAAGGUGGGGAUGACGUCAAAUCAUCACGGCCCUUACGUCCUGGGCCACACACGUGCUACAAUGGUAGGUACAGAGAGCAGCCACUUAGUGAUAAGGAGCGAAUCUAUAAAGCCUAUCUCAGUUCGGAUC